CGAUGGUGGUUAUAGCAGCAAGGGUACACCUGUUCCCAUUCCGAACACAGCAGUUAAGCUUGUCUGCGCCGAUGGUACUGCACGGGCAACUGUGUGGAAGAGUAGGUCGCCGCCAUCGC
rnacentral:rRNA from 5 species